AGUUUGUAACAGGUCUUCCGUUGGUGAACCAGCGGAGGGAUCAUUACAGAGUUGAAAAACUCCAACCCCUGUGAACAUACCUUUACUGUUGCUUCGGCGGACGAUGGCCCCCCCCGGGGGCCGGACGCCGCCGGAGGUUACAAACCCUGAAUUUUAGUGUAUCUCUGAGUAUAAAACCAAAUAAUUAAAACUUUCAACAACGGAUCUCUUGGUUCUGGCAUCGAUGAAGAACGCAGCGAAAUGCGAUAAGUAAUGUGAAUUGCAGAAUUCAGUGAAUCAUCGAAUCUUUGAACGCACAUUGCGCCCGCCGGUAUUCCGGCGGGCAUGCCUGUCCGAGCGUCAUUUCACCACUCAAGCCCAGCUUGGUGUUGGGGCACCCGGCCGCCCGGCGGUCGGGGCCCCCAAGAACAUCGGCGGUCUCGCCAGGACCCUGAAACGCAGUAACUCGCGGUAAAACGCGCUUCGUUCGGAGGCUUCCCGGCGGGCUCCAGCCGCUACACCCCCUACACUUCUUAGGUUGACCUCGGAUCAGGUAGGAAUACCCGCUGAACUGAAGCAUAUCAAUAAGC
rnacentral:rRNA from 1 species